rnacentral:rRNA from 1 species
UAGGGAUAUUGGACAAUGGGCGAAAGCCUGAUCCAGCAACGCCGCGUGCGCGAUGACGGCCUUCGGGUUGUAAAGCGCUUUUAGAGGAGAUGAGAAAGGACAGUAUCCUCUGAAUAAGCCUCGGCGAACUACGUGCCAGCAGCCGCGGUAAAACGUAGGAGGCUAGCGUUAUCCGGAUUUAUUGGGCGUGAAGCGCGUGCAGGCGGUCUGACAAGUUGGUUGUGAAAGCUCCUGGCUUAACUGGGAGAGGUCGUUCAAAACUGUUAGACUAGAGAAUGGGAGAGGGAGGUGGAAUUCCGGGUGUAGUGGUGAAAUGCGUAGAUAUCCGGAGGAACACCAGUGGCGAAAGCGGCCUCCUAGACCAUUUCUGACGCUAAGACGCGAAAGCUAGGGUAGCAAACG